rnacentral:piRNA from 1 species
GUUAAACAUAGAUAAGCUUUGGCUGAGGU